rnacentral:rRNA from 1 species
GACGAACGCUGGCGGCGUGCUUAACACAUGCAAGUCGAACGGAAAGGCCCCUUUGGGGGUACUCGAGUGGCGAACGGGUGAGUAACACGUGAGUAACCUGCCCUUGACUUCGGGAUAACUUCAGGAAACUGGGGCUAAUACCGGAUAGGAAUCCUUGCUGCAUGGUGGGGGUUGGAAAGCUUCGGCGGUUUUGGAUGGACUCGCGGCUUAUCAGCUUGUUGGUGGGGUAGUGGCUUACCAAGGCUUUGACGGGUAGCCGGCCUGAGAGGGCGACCGGCCACAUUGGGACUGAGAGACGGCACAGACUCCUACGGGAGGCAGCAGUGGGGAAUAUUGCACAAUGGGCGGAAGCCUGAUGCAGCAACGCCGCGUGCGGGAUGACGGCCUUCGGGUUGUAAACCGCUUUCAGCAGGGGCGAAGCUUGUGGUGACGGUACCUGCAGAAGAAGCACCGGCUAACUACGUG